CUUCAUCUACAUACAUCGGGUCUGACAUCUACAAAUUAACUGAGGAUACAAAGUAACUAUAGGAUUAUUGGAACAUCGGCUAACCGAGAUGGUUUUUAUGUCUGCCACUGCAGCUGACGUUGAGACAACUCUCCUGCAAGUCCUCGCCUGAUACUGCCUGUUUCAGGUGCAACAGGGCAAGUCACAAUUAGAGGUUGGAUGAUCACCUUUGAGGGCCGUGUAAUCUCUGAGGGCAUCCCACCAACAUUUGCAUCGGGACUUACUGCUGUGUUUGCAAUCUACUACAUAUUCAACCUUCAGUAUCAAGAUGAGGCAGUCUGCACUCUG